CCGUCCUUAUAAUGAUCUUAUGAUUGAAAGUAUUUAAAAAUUAAAUAUAUGUCUCUAAUUCUCAACACUUUGAAAAUAUGUAUCAAAAUUAAUUCUAUGGAUGAUUCAAGGACACAUCACACUUGAAUAAAAAAAAAUUAUUUUUUUAUUGAUCACAUCAAUAUAUUAAGUAUAAAAUUAUACCCUAGAUUUAUUACAAU
rnacentral:lncRNA from 1 species